rnacentral:tRNA from 1 species
GGGGGUGUAGCUUGGUCGUAGAGCACGUGUUUGGCUUGCACAAGGUCCCUGGUUCAAACCCUGGCACCUCCA